rnacentral:rRNA from 1 species
UACGAGAGGCCCAAACGUUAUUCGGAUUUACUGGGCUUAAAGAGUUCGUAGGCGGCGCAGAAAGUAGGGUGUGAAAGCCCUCGGCUCAACCGAGGAAUUGCGCCCUAAACUACUGUGCUUGAGGAACCUAGAGGUGAGCAGAACUGAUGGUGGAGCGGUGAAAUGCGUUGAUAUCAUCAGGAAUACCGGAGGCGAAGGCGGCUCACUGGGGGUUUUCUGACGCUGAGGAACGAAAGCCAGGGGAGCGAACGGG